AUUGAACGCUGGCGGCAGGCCUAACACAUGCAAGUCGAGCGGUAGAGAGAAGCUUGCUUCUCUUGAGAGCGGCGGACGGGUGAGUAAUGCCUAGGAAUCUGCCUGGUAGUGGGGGAUAACGUUCGGAAACGGACGCUAAUACCGCAUACGUCCUACGGGAGAAAGCAGGGGACCUUCGGGCCUUGCGCUAUCAGAUGAGCCUAGGUCGGAUUAGCUAGUUGGUGGGGUAAUGGCUCACCAAGGCGACGAUCCGUAACUGGUCUGAGAGGAUGAUCAGUCACACUGGAACUGAGACACGGUCCAGACUCCUACGGGAGGCAGCAGUGGGGAAUAUUGGACAAUGGGCGAAAGCCUGAUCCAGCCAUGCCGCGUGUGUGAAGAAGGUCUUCGGAUUGUAAAGCACUUUAAGCUGGGAGGAAGGGCAGUAAAUUAAUACGUUGCUGUUUUGACGUUACCGACAGAAUAAGCACCGGCUAACUCGGUG
rnacentral:rRNA from 1 species